rnacentral:tRNA from 1 species
GUCAGUGUGGUGUAGUGGUUUGAGUGUUGGGCUACGACUCUGGAGACCAGGGUUCAAUUCUCUGCUUGGCCA